rnacentral:rRNA from 1 species
CGCCGCCCCACAGAGGUGGCGGGCGCACCCACUAUUUAUGAGUCCCCGGGGGGCGGCCCCCACCCACACACCCCCCAGACGGGAGUGAAAAAGUCUCUUAAACCCCUCCCCCCCCGAAAAAACAGAGGGCCCCGCUUUUAAAAAUAGCGGGUUCCCCCGAAAUUUUUCCCAAUUCCCCCAUAACUUAUUGCCCUUCGCGCUUUUUUUUUAUCGGAGCCCAGAACCCCAAAAAUCCCCAUGUUGAAAAUUUUGGAUAAAAUGUUUUUUUUUUUUGAAACCUUUUAACGCCAAAUCCCAAGGGUUGUGGGUCCCGGGGGGAACCCCCCCGCGGAAACCAAAGGUGCUUAAAGUCCAGGUGGAGAACGCUUGCCGGGUCGUUGUCUCCUCCCCGGCAUCGUACUUGGGUAAUGAUCCUUCCGUAGGGGGGACCUGCGGAAGGAUCAUUACCCAAGUACGAUGCCUGCGAGGAGACAACGACUCCAGGCAAGCGUUCUACCACCCUUGACUUUGAGCACCUUUCGUUUCCUCGGCGGGUUCGCCCGCCAGCGAGGACCCCCUAAACGCUUUGCAGUUUGCAGUAUUUGUCUGAAAAACAUACCAAUAAUCAAAACUUUCAACAAUGGAUCUCUUGGUUCUGGCAUCGAUGAAGAACGCAGCGAAAUGCGAUAAGUAGUGUGAAUUGCAGAAUUCAGUGAAUCAUCGAAUCUUUGAACGCACAUUGCGCCCCUCGGUAUUCCGUGGGGCAUGCCUGUUCGAGCGUCAUUUAACCCCUCAAGCUCAGCUUGGUGUUGGGUGCUUGUCCCGCCUCCGCGCGGCGACUCACCUCAAAAUCAGUGGCAGCCCGCACCCGCCGGCCGUGAGCGCAGCACAGUCGCGCCCUAGGCCGUUGGCAGGUCGGCUCUCCAGAAGCUCCUUCUUCCACGUUUGACCUCGGAUCAGGUAGGGAUACCCGCUGAACUUAAGCAUAUCAAUAAGCGGAGGAAAGUUCAUUACCCAAGUACGAUGCCGGGG